GGAUGUGGUGGUGGCACUGGAAGACAAGCGUGCCUGGGACACGCUGCUCUGUGCUGACACCCAGCACUGUGCUGUAGGCGUGCUGGCCAGAGAAAUGUGCCAUGAAUCCGUAGCCUUGUGUUCCGAGAUUGCCUCCUCCCUGCUCGGGCUGCUCAGCAAAGACACGCCAUGCUGGGAUUUGGCCACCAUGGCGUUCCUUGUGGAGAUUCUCCAGUGCCUGGCCUGCAGUGAAUGGCACGAGCGCGCCCUGGACAUCAUGUCAAAGAACCUGCAGAGCGAGUGCAGGGAGAGGCAUCGCCUGGCACUCC